AUUUCAUUUCACAAAACGUCAAAAUCUUUAUUAUCAUUCUUUACAGUUGAUGUGGCAAACACUUCUUUCCCGCUUAUUUUCCUCAUCUUUCCUGCAACACCUACAUCUCAAGUUCCUUAUAUUAUAUACAAGUUCCUUCUCGCCAUAUUUGAGACUUUCCGAUCCAAGCAAAAUUACUCUCCCCAUUAUAAGCUCUUACGUGCAGUUUGAGAAGUGGCUAUGAGGCAUCAGUUACUACUCACCCAAAGCCAACACUUUGAGGUUAUCAAUUCUGGGGGCUCUGAAAGGAAUGAUGGUGUUGUGUAAAGAUAAAACUACAUAUAAAUCGUCUUUUUAGAGAUAACAAAUAAGCCGACGAAAACUUGAAGAAAAACAGCUUACUUGAGGGGCAUUUAUUGGGUAGUGAGCCCUGUAAUCAUAAAGAAAAUGUUGUACUCAAAUUUAGAAUAACGUUGUAAUCAAAUUUAGACUGUUUGUAAAAUAUUUUCCAGACAGAGUCUGACGACCAAAUCCCCAUGAAAACGGUUCUCCUCCACUGCAUCUUCAGCGCUUGUUUUCAUCACUGAAAUUGGUUAUCAGACAAGCAAAAAUAAAGGAAAAUGCAGAAGCAAACUGAUUCUUGCCACAGAAUCCAAAUUGCAUCACCCACCAUGGAUGCCUAGACCACCACCUCGUACUUCCUGCAGUCUAGACAUGGGUAUCUCGGAAAUGCUUCUGGAUUGAAGCUCCAAUUGGAAACUUGGAAAACCACUGUCCUUCCGCACAGAGAGCGCGGCCCGUGGUGUCUCUCACUGGACCCAGCUCACCUCUGCAGGCACCUCGUCCACUCGGCGGCUGCUGCUGCCCUUUCUGCCGUUAAU